UGGCUGGUGGAGAUGGAGGAUGAAGAAGAUGCAAGUCGAUGGUGAAGAUGGAGGGGGAGAUGCAUUUAGAGGUGAAGAAUGAGGAUUGUAACACCCAUUCCUCAGUGGGAGAGAUUUUACCACCAGAAGAUCGUGUGUGAUAUCUAUUCAUUUAUCUAUCGAGGGUGAAAUAGACUCAGCUACUCGGGGGUAAAGUAUACUUUUUCGGCAGGAAAAAAUCGAUCGAGUUCAAAUAGACUCGAGGGAGGCAUAGACCCGGGGGUGAAAUAGACUCGUUCGGUUGAAAAACAUUGAUUGAGUUGAAAUGGAUUUGGGGUGAAAUAGCCUCAUUACAGCUUCGAGCUGAUAUGUAUGUAUGGUAUGCGGUAUUUUGUGGAAAUCACUAAGCUUUGUGCUUACGGUUUCAUUUGUGUGUUCCAAGUACUUUUGAUUCCAAUGGGAAGAUCUCGACGUGAUUUCAUUGCAUCCACAAGUGUUUCGCAUGCUAUGGCAUGUUUUGUACUCUAAUAACUAUUUGAUUCAUUUUAUACUUUGAUUGGGCUUUUGGAAUGAAUAAAUAGUUGUUUUCG